AAGCUCGUAGUUGAACCUUGGGCCUGGCUGGCCGGUCCGCCUCACCGCGUGUACUGGUCCGGCCGGGCCUUUCCCUCUGUGGAACCCCAUGCCCUUCACUGGGUGUGGCGGGGAAACAGGACUUUUACUUUGAAAAAAUUAGAGUGCUCCAGGCAGGCCUAUGCUCGAAUACAUUAGCAUGGAAUAAUAGAAUAGGACGUGUGGUUCUAUUUUGUUGGUUUCUAGGACCGCCGUAAUGAUUAAUAGGGACAGUCGGGGGCAUCAGUAUUCAAUUGUCAGAGGUGAAAUUCUUGGAUUUAUUGAAGACUAACUACUGCGAAAGCAUUUGCCAAGGAUGUUUUCACUAAUCAGGAACGAAAGUUAGGGGAUCGAAGACGAUCAGAUACCGUCGUAGUCUUAACCAUAAACUAUGCCGACUAGGGAUCGGACGAUGUUAUUUUUUGACUCGUUCGGCACCUUACGGGAAAC
rnacentral:rRNA from 1 species